rnacentral:rRNA from 1 species
UACAGAGGGUGCAAGCGUUUGUUCGGAAUUAUUUGGGCGUAAAAGCGCGUGUAGGCGGCAUGGCAAGUCGGGUGUGAAAGCCCUCAGCUUAACUGAGGAAGUGCGCCCGAAACUGCUUUGCUUGAGUGCCGGAGAGGAUGGCGGAAUUCCCCAAGUAGAGGUGAAAUUCGUAGAUAUGGGGGAGGAACACCGGUGGCGAAGGCGGCCAUCUGGACGGUAACUGACGCUGAGACGCGAAAAGCGUGGGGUAGCAAAACA